rnacentral:rRNA from 1 species
GUCGAGCGGAAGAUGGGAGCUUGCUCCCUGAUGUUAGCGGCGGACGGGUGAGUAACACGUGGGUAACCUGCCUGUAAGACUGGGAUAACUCCGGGAAACCGGGGCUAAUACCGGAUGCUUGUUUGAACCGCAUGGCUUCAAACAUAAAAGGUGGCUUCGGCUACCACUUACAGAUGGACCCGCGGCUCAUUAGCUAGUUGGUGAGGUAACGGCUCACCAAGGGAACGAUGCGUAACCGACCUGAGAGGGUGAUCGGCCACACUGGGACUGAGACACGGCCCACACUCCUACGGGAGGCAGCAGUAGGGAAUCUUCCGCAAUGGACGAAAGUCUGACGGAGCAACGCCGCGUGAGUGAUGAAGGUUUUCGGAUCGUAAAGCUCUGUUGUUAGGGAAGAACAAGUACCGUUCGAAUAGGGCGGUACCUUGACGGUACCUAACCAGAAAGCCACGGCUAACUACGUGCCAGCAGCCGCGGUAAUACGUAGGUGGCAAGCGUUGUCCGGAAUUAUUGGGCGUAAAGGGCUCGCAGGCGGUUCCUUAAGUCUGAUGUGAAAGCCCCCGGCUCAACCGGGGAGGGUCAUUGAAAACUGGGCAACUUGAGUGCGGAAUAGGAGAGUGGAAUUCCACGUG